GCAGUUUCCGGAGCGGAUCGCAACCCGGAGUCCGGAUCCGACCCCGCUCUGCACAUUCCACAGGUAUCAGCAAUGGCUGAAGAUGGUAGUGAGGAGAUCAUGUUUAUCUGGUGUGAAGACUGCAGCCAGUACCAUGACUCGGAGUGUCCUGAACUGGGACCUGUGGUCAUGGUCAAGGACUCCUUUGUGCUGAGCAGGGCAAGGUCCUCCCUCCCCUCUAACCUGGAGAUCAGGCGCCUGGAUGACGGGGCUGAAGGCGUGUUUGCAGUGACCCAGCUAGUCAAGCGCACACAAUUUGGUCCGUUUGAGUCCAGGAGAGUCGCCAAGUGGGAGAAAGAGUCGGCAUUUCCUCUGAAGGUAUUUCAGAAGGACGGGCAUCCUGUGUGCUUCGACACUUCCAAUGAGGAUGACUGCAACUGGAUGAUGCUAGUGCGACCAGCACUGGAGCCUGGGCACCAGAACCUGACAGCCUACCAACAUGGCAGUGACGUGUAUUUCACCACCUCAAAGGACAUUCCUGCAGGCACUGAACUGCGUGUGUGGUAUGCUGCCUUUUAUGCCAAGAAGAUGGACAAGCCCAUGCUAAAGCAGGCCUGCUCCAGUGUUCAGGCUGCAGGCACCCCUGAGCCCAGUGUCUCUGUGGAACCUGAGCGUGGCCAAUGGGUGUGUAAGGUGUGCUCCAACACCUUCCUGGAGCUUCAGCUCCUGAACGAGCAUCUCUUGGGCCAUCUGGAGCAAGCCAAAAGCCUCCCUGCAGGUGGCCAGCAGCAUGAGGCAGCUUCUGAGAAGGAGCCUGAUGCACCCAGGAUGGAGCCUCCCACAGCAGCCGAGAGCAAGAGCAUCCAGAGUGUCAUGGUCACCAAAGAGCCAAAGAAAAAGCCUCGAAGAGGGAGGAAACCCAAAGCAUCCAAGGUUGAGCAGCCUCUGGUCAUUAUCAAAGACAAGGAGCCUUCAGAGCAUGUGGCAGAGAUCAUAACUGAGAUCCCCCCAGAUGAGCCUGUGAGUGCAACACCAGAUGAACGGAUCAUGGAGUUAGUCUUGGGGAAGCUGGCCGCCCCCACAAAUGAAGCCAGCUCAGUGCCAAAGUUCCCACAUCAUCCAAGCAGCACCAUUGCCCUCAAGAGGGGCUUGGUUCUGUCCAGCAGACAUGGCGUCCGGCGGAAGCUCGUCCGUCAGCUGGGUGAGCAUAAACGCAUCCAUCAGUGUGGCACCUGCAGCAAGGUCUUCCAGAACAGCAGCAACCUGAGCCGGCACGUGCGCUCGCACGGGGACAAGCUGUUUAAAUGUGAGGAAUGUUCGAAACUGUUCAGCCGUAAGGAAAGUCUAAAGCAGCAUGUUUCCUACAAGCACAGCCGGAAUGAGGUGGACGGUGAGUACCGCUACCGCUGUGGCAGCUGUGGGAAGACAUUCCGAAUGGAGAGUGCACUGGAGUUCCACAACUGUAGGACAGAUGACAAGACGUUCCAAUGUGAGAUGUGUUUCAGAUUCUUCUCCACCAACAGCAACCUCUCUAAGCACAAGAAGAAACAUGGGGACAAGAAGUUUGCCUGUGAGGUCUGCAGUAAGAUGUUCUACCGCAAGGAUGUUAUGCUGGACCACCAGAGGCGACACUUGGAUGGUGUGCGGCGGGUGAAGAGAGAAGACUUGGAGGCCAGCGGGGAAAGCCUGGUUCGUUACAAGAAGGAACCUUCUGGAUGCCCAGUGUGUGGCAAGGUGUUCUCCUGUCGGAGCAACAUGAACAAGCACCUGCUGACCCACGGUGACAAGAAGUACACCUGCGAGAUCUGUGGGCGCAAGUUCUUCCGAGUGGACGUACUCAGGGACCACAUCCAUGUCCACUUCAAGGACAUCGCGCUAAUGGAUGACCACCAGCGGGAGGAGUUCAUUGGCAAAAUUGGGAUCUCCUCAGAGGAGAAUGAUGACAACUCUGAUGAGAGCGCAGACUCUGAGCCACACAAGUACAGCUGCAAGAGGUGCCAGCUCACUUUCGGCCGUGGGAAGGAAUACCUGAAGCACAUCAUGGAGGUGCACAAGGAGAAGGGCCACGGCUGCAGCAUCUGCCACCGACGCUUCGCACUCAAGGCCACCUACCAUGCCCACAUGGUCAUCCACCGGGAGAACCUGCCUGACCCCAACGUGCAGAAGUACAUUCACCCCUGUGAGAUCUGUGGGAGGAUAUUCAACAGCAUUGGGAACUUGGAGCGCCACAAACUCAUCCACACAGGUGUGAAAAGCCACGCCUGUGAGCAGUGUGGGAAGUCCUUUGCCAGGAAGGACAUGCUGAAAGAGCACAUGCGUGUGCAUGACAACAUCCGGGAGUACCUGUGCGCCGAGUGUGGGAAAGGUAUGAAGACCAAGCAUGCACUGCGCCACCAUAUGAAGCUGCACAAAGGCAUCAAGGAGUAUGAGUGCAAGGAAUGUCACCGCAAGUUUGCACAGAAGGUCAACAUGCUCAAGCACUACAAACGGCACACAGGUGUCCCAACUCUCCAAAACCAAAUAGCCCUAGAGCGAGUUCCUCAGGGUUUUCUCUCUCUGUUCCUAGCCCCAAGCUUGCUAUUAUCCUGGCUGAUGUGGGAUGAGGCUGUGCAUCUCAGAGCUCCCUUACUUCAUGAGCACUGUAACCCUGUGUAUACAAGUAAAACCCCACUGCAAAUGUCUGCGCCAGAGAUCUUUUAUGAGUUUGCCAAUGGACCCCUGGAAAUCGUAGCCACUUACUGGGGCUCUCCAUUUCUGCACAGGAUCAAAACCCUAUGGCAUCAUCAUCAGUGAAUUAAAGACUUCAUGUGUGAAUUGUGUGGGAAGACAUUCAGUGAGAGGAACACAAUGGAGACACACAAGCUCAUCCACACAGUAGGCAAGCAGUGGACUUGUUCCGUGUGUGACAAGAAGUACGUCACAGAGUACAUGCUUCAGAAACACGUCCAGCUCACUCAUGACAAGGUGGAAGCACAGAGUUGCCAACUAUGUGGCACCAAAGUGUCAACCCGGGCCUCCAUGAGCAGACAUAUGCGACGCAAGCACCCCGAGGUCCUCGCUGUUCGGAUUGACGAUCUGGACCACCUCCCCGAGACCACCACCAUCGAUGCAUCUUCCAUCGGCAUUGUCCAGCCUGCGCUGGGCCUGGAGCAGGAAGAACUGGCAGAAGGUAAGCAUGGAAAGGCUGCCAAGCGCAGCCACAAGAGAAAGCAGAAGCCAGAGGAAGAGGCAGGGGCUCCAGUGCCUGAGGAUACCACCUUCAGUGAAUACCCCGAAAAGGAGCCAGAGUUCACAGGCAGUGUGGGUGACGAGACAAAUUCUGCUGUACAGAGUAUCCAACAGGUGGUGGUGACCCUAGGGGACCCCAAUGUGACUGCUCCAUCAAGCUCAGUUGGUCUAACCAACAUCACCGUGACCCCCAUCACCACUGCAGCUGGAACUCAGUUUACCAAUUUACAGCCAGUGGCUGUUGGACAUCUUACCAACCCUGAUCGCCAGCUACAGCUAGAUAACUCCAUCCUGACUGUGACCUUUGAUACUGUCAGUGGCUCCGCCAUGUUGCACAACCGGCAAAAUGAUGUCCAGAUCCACCCACAGCCAGAAGCCACAAACCCUCAGUCAGUGGCCCACUUUAUCAACCUUACCACACUGGUAAACUCCAUCACACCCUUGGGGAACCAACUCAGUGAGCAGCACCCACUCACCUGGCGAGCAGUGCCCCAGACAGAUGUGCUGCAGCCGCCACAGGCCCCUGCAGCCCCGCAGCAGGCGGUGCAACCCCAGGUACAGAAUGAGCAGCAGCAGAUGUACAGCUACUGAUCUGUGGCUGCAGAAUAGGCUGAGCUGCAGCAGUGGGGUUCUGAGGUCUUGAGGUGUUUGCUGGAUACCAAACAGGAAGAGUUUGCAAAUGUCAAGAUCACUGAGAUUAGCAUUACAGAGCUACCUAUCAGCUUUGCUGGUGGUAUGGCUUUGGCAAGCAGGAGCUUCUGCCAUGUGUUUUCCCAAGGUGUUGCAGCCUGGCCAGACCACAGUGUCACCCUCAGAGGUCUGUAAUUGUCAUGGGGCUCAGGGAUACAGAUAACAGGAUCCUAGAAGCAGGCGUGAUAUUCCAAGGACCAGGGAGAUUUGAUCUGUUUUCUUUAGCACUCCAGUGACAAUAACUGAAAUAUGGCUAGCCUUCUGUGGCAACACACAGAAGCAAACGCAGGUUUCUCCUUGCUCCUGGAUUCACAAGCAGGGAGAAGUCAUUCUGAAGUCUCAGUUCUUACGUCACAGAGCUGUGGCCUGAGGCCUCCUGUGAGAAGUAUCAUGAGGCCCCCAGCUCAGGCACAGAAGACAUCUUGGGAACAUCUAUAGACUGAUUUUUAUGAAGAGUCUGUUUUAUUUCAUAACCACGUUAUGUAUUAUGGCCCUCUCGUGGUCAAUAUUGAUUUCUUUUAAUAUGAUAAAGUCGUUUGCACUGUAGGGUGUCAGUCCCUGUCCAGUUGUGCACAGAUGCCUUGUGUGAGGCCACACACAGUUGUGUGCAAAGUGAGCCCUCACGCUUGAAUCCCGAUGCUCCUCUGGAGCUAUCUCAGGACUCUGCCAUCCAAACAUGUAUUAUGGUGCAGCUUAGCCACAUCCCUGAAUGAAGGAUGGGGAGUGAACCAUGUUUCCUUUCUGUGUAAGCCUUAAUUCCAAAGGUGGUUAUGUCUGAAAACCAAUUUCCUAUGAAAUACAGAGGUUCAGCUCUGUAGGAGAGAAGUGUAGCUAGUGAUUUACGAAGCCCGAGAGGUGCUUCCAUGUGGUGGUGAGAGCAGUAGAGGUCCUCGUGACAGAAUACAAACUGGCCACCCCCAGCUCUGAGGGAACAUGGCUGGCACAAACCCGUGCUAUCCCCAUGGUAACAGGCCAGGCUGCCAUCAUAGGGUCCAUAGUCCAGCACAGGGACAUGAAGAGGCAAGGUGAGGACAGAGUUUGGUCUAGCUCUUCUGAUUAGUUUUUAAUGUCACACAAAAGAACUUAAAGAUGAACUUGCCUUACUUCGUCCUUGGUCCUGUGUUUCCUGGAAGUAUUCAAAUAUGGGCAGCCAUCCUGCAGAGAUGGAUACUAACCAGCAGUGGACAAGGGAAGUUACAGUGUGAUGUCAGACAUGAUGCUGCUACUCGGCACCUCCUUCCAGAGAGCGAGCUUUGAGGAUGAGGCUGGAGCUUCUGUUACACAGAUGGAGCAUAAGGAAGAGAUGGCACUUGAGGACAAGUCUGCAGGUCUGUGGGUCGCCUGACCCACACCCUUUCCACAUCCACACAGGUCUCACCUCUUGGCAGAUGGCAUGCUGGGAGUUCUUGGACUUCUUAAUUUAUGACAGUUUUUUUUAUGUUAUUUAUGUGUAUAAUUAACUACUUUGUAUGCAGUACCCUUAUGAAAUGAACUUGGCCUAGGGGUGAACUGUUUUCUAAAACAUAGCCUUUGUUCUCCAAAUAAAACUAUUCCAGGAAACCAUGGAAAAAAUGGGCAGGCAAUCCAUAGCCCUAAUCUAUUUUUUAAAAAUUCAACCGCAGUUCCUCUUUGCCUUUAUAGCCUCUCAAAGAUGAAUGAGCUGAGCCCAAAUGAGCACUGGGCUCAAUCAAACAUCACUAGCAUUUGACUUUUAUUCUCUUCUCACUAAAAUAAAGACCUUUGAAAUCACAUUUUUUAUUUUUUAAAGAUGUAUUUUUGUGCCUAUACCCAGGUUGUUAAAUCCUGUUGAAAGACGGAGCUUAGGUUGUACAGUCUCUCCUGCUGCCACUGUUUGCUUAAAUAUACAGAGGCAUCUACUUCCUGCUGUUAUAAGCAGGAAUUCAGAUAAAACCAGCCUUUCUCCCCAAGUGUCUGUGACACAUGGUCUCCCCAGUCAUUGGCUGAAGCAAGCAGGUUGUCUCACCAUAGUUACAGCUCCCCUGCAGAUAGCAACUGGAUAGCAAAACAAAGGCACCUCUACACUCCAGGUACCCCACAUACAUAAACCAUUGUUGAUCCGUAGGAAAUGUUCAGGUUGUUUUGUUUUUUUUUUUAAACUGGUCUAAAUCGGUCAUAGCUAUGUGUCCAACAAGCCCUGUGACUAUGUCUAGGUUCGCAUAAAUAAAUGUAUCAGACUUUGUUUACACCUUGUGAAUGGUAAUGCUAUAGGGUCACAUGUCAUAACAAGAUGGAUCUCAUAGUUGCAGCACAGGAUUCCACCCUCUGGGAUGGUGUUAGCCAGUGAUAAGUUCUCAGGAAAAGGGUCUGUACCAGAUGCCCUCUCCUAUGUCGGGCAUGAAAGCCUGCUGGAGAAUGGUCUCAUGAAAGGCAGAUCUUUGCUCCUUCACACCAUUCUCAGUCAGUAUCCAAAGGCAGAAGCAGUGCCUGUGACUACCAUAGAUUCUGAGGUUUGUGGAGACCAUUCUGUAACUCUGAGGGUGUUUCAUGUCACAUCUGUUUGUAUGGUGAUAAAUAAAGGUGCUGUGACCUGUGUUUUUCAA